rnacentral:rRNA from 1 species
CACGUAGGGCGCGAGCGUUGUCCGGAAUUAUUGGGCGUAAGAGCUCGUAGGCGGCCUGUUGCGUCCGCUGUGAAAGCCCGGGGCUUAACCCCGGGUCUGCAGUGGAUACGGGCAGGCUAGAGGUAGGUAGGGGAGAAUGGAAUUCCCGGUGUAGCGGUGAAAUGCGCAGAGUAUCGGGAGGAACACCGGUGGCGAAGGCGGUUCUCUGGGCCUUACCUGACGCUGAGGAGCGAAAGUGUGGGGAGCGAACAGG